UACGGAGGGUGCAAGCGUUGUUCGGAAUCACUGGGCGUAAAGGGCGUGUAGGCGGUCCGCUAAGUCUGAUGUGAAAGCCCGGGGCUCACCCCCGGAAGGGCAUUGGAAACUGGCGGACUCGAGUCUCGGAGAGGAAGGUGGAAUUCCUGGUGUAGCGGUGAAAUGCGUAGAUAUCAGGAGGAACACCAGCGGCGAAGGCGGUGCUCUGGGCCGGAACUGACGCUGAGGAGCGAAAGCGUGGGGAGCGAACAGG
rnacentral:rRNA from 1 species